GUCUAUGGCCAUACCACCCUGAACGCGCCCAAUCUCGUCUGAUCUCGGAAGCUAAGCAGGGUCGGGCCUGGUUAGUACUUGGAUGGGAGAAAAACUUUACCAACUAUAGUAG
ensembl:rRNA 5S_rRNA 5S ribosomal RNA